GAUGAACGCUGGCGGCGUGCUUAACACAUGCAAGUCGAACGGGGAAACAUUUUAUUGAAGCUUCGGCAGAUUUAGCUUGUUUCUAGUGGCGGACGGGUGAGUAACGCGUGGGUAACCUACCUCACACUGGGGGAUAACAGUCAGAAAUGACUGCUAAUACCGCAUAAGCGCACGGGACCGCAUGGUUUAGUGUGAAAAACUCCGGUGGUGUGAGAUGGACCCGCGUUGGAUUAGCCAGUUGGCAGGGUAACGGCCUACCAAAGCGACGAUCCAUAGCCGGCCUGAGAGGGUGAACGGCCACAUUGGGACUGAGACACGGCCCAG
rnacentral:rRNA from 1 species